GAUGAACGCUGGCGGCGUGCCUAAUACAUGCAAGUCGAGCGGCAGCACGGUCUUCGGACUGGUGGCGAGCGGCGGACGGCUGAGUAACGCGUAGGAACAUGCCCUAAAGUGAGGAAUAACUGCCCGAAAGGGUGGCUAAUGCCGCAUAUGCUCUUCGGAGUAAAGCUUUAUGCGCUUUAGGAGUGGCCUGCGUCCGAUUAGCUUGUUGGUGAGGUAAUGGCUCACCAAGGCGACGAUCGGUAGCUGGUCUGAGAGGAUGAUCAGCCAGACUGGAACUGAGAACGGUCCAGACUCCUACGGGAGGCAGCAGUAGGGAAUUUUCCACAAUGGGCGAGAGCCUGAUGGAGCAACGCCGCGUGCAGGAUGAAUGCCUUAGGGUUGUAAAGCUCUUUCAGCUGGGAAGAUAAUGACGGUACCAGCAGAAGAAGCCCCGGCUAACUCCGUGCCAGCCGCCGCUGUAA
rnacentral:rRNA from 1 species